UUGUCUCAAAGAUUAAGCCAUGCAUGUCUCAGUACAAGCCAAAUUAAGGUGAAACCGCGAAAGGCUCAUUAAAUCAGUUAUGGUUCCUUAGAUCGUACCCACAAUUACUUGGAUAACUGUGGUAAUUCUAGAGCUAAUACAUGCAAACAGAGCUCCGACCGGAGACGGAAGGAGUGCUUUUAUUAGAUCAAAACCAAUCGGUGAGGGUUGGUGACUCUGAAUAACUUUACGCUGAUCGCACGGUCAUCGCACCGGCGACGCAUCUUUCAAAUGUCUGCCUUAUCAACUGUCGAUGGUAGGUUCUGCGCCUACCAUGGUUGUAACGGGUAACGGGGAAUCAGGGUUCGAUUCCGGAGAGGGAGCCUGAGAAACGGCUACCACAUCCAAGGAAGGCAGCAGGCGCGCAAAUUACCCACUCCCGGCACGGGGAGGUAGUGACGAAAAAUAACGAUACGGGACUCAUCCGAGGCCCCGUAAUCGGAAUGAGUACACUCUAAACCCUUUAACGAGGAUCAAUUGGAGGGCAAGUCUGGUGCCAGCAGCCGCGGUA
rnacentral:rRNA from 1 species